CUCCCUCCCUCAGCAGCCGCCCGCACUGCAUCUCGCAGUCGUUGCCAAACCCUAGCGUCGCCGCCCCUCCGUCGACCCACUGAUGUCGCGCCCCCAUCCCCUGCAUCGACCCACCGCCGCCGCCCCUAUCCCCUGCAUCCACCCGUCGCCUUCAUCCCCUGCAUCCACCCACCGCCGCCGACCCCAUCCCCUGCAUCGACCUAACGCCGACCCCAUCCCCUGCAUCGACCCACCGCCGCCCCCAUCCCCUGCAUCGACCCGGCGCCGCCGCCCCUGCAUCCACCUAGCGCCGCCGCCCCCAUCCUCUUCAUCCACACCGCAGGAGCAUCCCCUAUCCAGCCCGCCGCCCCUGCAUCCACCCAGAACCAUCGCCCCCAUCCUCUUUAUCCACGCCACAGGAGAAUCCCCAAUCCAGCCGGCCGCACCAGCAUCACGCAAUCCAGUGCCGCUGCCCCAUCCCCUCCAUCACCCCACAUAGUUGUCCCAGUGUACAGGCGAAGCUGAAUUAAAAAGAUCUCAGCUUUGUGGGAUAUACAUACAAAAACUUUGAUGCUGUGAAAGGAUUAAAACAUGCAGAUAUGCAAAGGAGCUCAUCACUAAACAGGCCCUCUAUUGGUGCUAUAUUCCCCAAGAACAACGCCUCCCGAUACCCUUCGCCAUCCUCGCCCCUGGUUCACCUCCUCUGCCACUGACUCGUCAACUGAUCAGCAGGAGCAGCAACAGCCUGAGAGUCACAGAUAGAGGUUGCACUGAGUUCUGUUCUCUGUUGUCACAGGAACCAGCCUAAACCAGACUUUAAGGACAAGUUUAAGAUCUAGGUUGGGAAGUGAAGAAGGUAUCAAGCUGCAGCCAUCAAUAAUUGAACAAGUGCCACUUGCAGCUUCUAGAAAAAGAAUGGCAAACGGAGGAGAAAGGGCUAAUACUACUUCAUAUGAAGAAGCACGGGCAGAGACUCUAAGGCUAAACACAGAGAAGUUGCAUCAAUUAAUUCCAAGACUUGCAGAGAAGUCUUCGCAUGAACAAAACAACAAGACAAAGAAAAGGCAACACACAUCUAGUCAGCCAGCUCUUGAAAUGCCUAGACGCAUACUAAGAUCGGACACCGCUAGAGCUGAUUCUAGGCACAACAAGACAAAGGUGAUGGUAGCCUUCCAAGACUUGCUUGUGUGUUGAUUCAACUGUGCAAGUGUAUGGUAGCUAUUUAACAACAUGUGCUUAUCUGCAGAAAAGGCAACACACAUCUAGUCAGCCAGCUCUUGAAAUGCCUAGACGCAUACUAAGAUCGGACACCGCUAGAGCUGAUUCUAGGCACAACAAGACAAAGAAAAGGCAACACACAUCUAGUCAGCCAGCUCUUGAAAUGCCUAGACGCAUACUAAGAUCGGACACCGCUAGAGCUGAUUCUAGGCACGAUGAUGAAGACAUGCGAGAUGCUGCAUUAGAAGAGAAUGAAGAUGAUGUUAAUGCAGUGACACAACAUGAUGGUGGUCAACAAUAGAAGAAGCGUGGACGCAGCUAUACUAGAAAGGCCAAUAUACGCUCAAGAGGGAACCAGCCACCAAUUAGGCUAGAGAUCAAUGAGAAGGGACAGCCUGUGGGGGACAAUGCCACCGAGUUUGCAAAUUUUAUAGCCACACUGGUUGAAAAUAGUGAGAUAGUAUCACUUGCCAAACCUGACUGGAGGUUGGUUGAGCCAAAGCAAAAGCUUUUAUUGUGGAAUACUUUGAAGGUAACUUCUGUGAUGCACAUAUACAAAAAUUUCUUAUGGACUUAUGUUUCAUCCUCUAAUUCAUUGUUGAAUUUUGGCAACUUGAUAACCAGUUGUACUAUGAAGUGGAUGAAAGAGUUAAAGACUGGCUCAUGGGAAGUACUCCUGAGCAACUUGUACUUUCUAUGGUUUUCCUAGUAGAUAAAAAAUGUGCCUACUUUCAAAUACAUGCUUAAGUCCUAUUUUGAAUCACAAACAGCAACUCUGUUUCUUAGAUAAUUCUGCAGCUACUACUUAAACUUUGACAGACAUUUAUGUGCCUGCAAACUCUUUCUGAAAGCAAGCAGCAAACUUUCCACCCUCAAGGCAUCAACACCAUCUCCUUUUGAUUUUGCACUGCCCCUGUUUUAUUCUUGGGUACGGCCCUACACACUAAAUAGGACAAGCAUGUACAAGAAAACAGAAUGGUGGACACCCUGCAUUGCCACUGGAUUGCUAGUAAUUGAUCCCUGGCUGCAGUUUUUGAAUGUUCUAUUUACUUAACAGCAAUCAAGAGAAAUUAUACUGCACCAAACAAGAUGGCUAUUGGUAUAUAUUUAUAGUGAUUGGUUACAUUGAUUUUCCUAGUGAUGCAUACACAGUGCACAAUCUCUUCUUAUGAGUACAUCCACACAUUCUGUCUGUGCCUUGUGGAAUGCAUACAGGGUGACACACAUGUGUCUCUUUCAUUUGGUUGAGUCGAUUUUCUUUUUCAGCCGAUGCAACAUAUAUGUUUGGAACAUGUGUUCUUCUGAGCUGAUCUAUUUGGCCAUUUAUUUAUUUUUACACGUCACCGGCAUAAUGCCUUUGCAUCCACAAAUGCGGUGUGUUUGGUGAGCUAAAAGGAUCUUCUGCUGGGAUAUGUUUACACCUAAAACCAGAUUGUAUAUUUUGCGCUUUUGUCUAUGAUGUACUACUUUGAGUUGUGAACCUACAACUGUACGCAUGUGUGCAUGUAGACCUGAUGGAUAGUUGUGCUUUUGGCUGUCUUGUUACUGUACUUGUAUGCCUGUGUGUGCAUGUAGGCACACAUAAUGGAUAUUUGUGCUGGCUUUUAGUUGUCCUGGACUAAUGAUGUAUCGUAUGCCUAUGUGUGCAUGUAGGCACACAUAAUGGAUCUUUGUGCUAGCUUUUAGUUGUCCUGGACUAAUGAUGUAUGGAUGAUGGAUUGCUCAUAAUUAGUAUAUGCACUAUCUCUGAA